rnacentral:rRNA from 1 species
AUGGCCGGCGAAGCCAUCGUCUCCGGCGUCGUGGGGGACAUGAUCGGCAGGGCGAUGUCCCUCCUCGCCGGGCAGCUCCUGGACCAGCAGCCGGAGCGGAGCGUCGAGGCCAAGCUGCGGAGGCUGAGGCGCCUGCUCGUCAAGGUCGAGAGAGCCGCGGAUGCCGCCGGGGCGAGGCGGAUCCCGAGCCGCGCGCUGCUCUCCUGGCUCGCGGAGAUCGUCGACGGCGCGUACCGGGGGCGCUACCUCCUCGACGCGUUCCCGGUCCCGAGCGGAGCAGGCGAUCAGGACGACGGCCAUGCUGGCAACAACAAGGUCGUGCCGCUGGCGCGCUCUUUCUCCAUGCCUAGCUCGUUCAACCCCGCUAAGCGCCUGCGCGUCGCGGCCAUGAAGCUGCUGCUCGGCGACGGCGACGGCAGCGCCGACGAGCUAGACGGCGUCAGCGGUCUCACGGAGUUCGUCAUGCUGCUGCAGAUGUGCCCGCCGGCGCUGCACCGGCCGCUUGCCACGAGCAUCUACGCGGACAGCCAGAUGUUCGGACGGCACGUCGAGAGACGCCGCGUUUUGGAGUUCUUGCUGCACGAUGACGAGGGCGAGCCGACGCUGGCAGAGCUAGGCGUCCUCCCUAUAAUCGGCUCCGCCGGCCUGGGGAAGACCACGCUCGAGCAGCACGUCUGCAAGGAGCCCGCGGGCGCACGCGCCGAGGCGGACCCGCGGCUGGCGGCGGCGGGCCAGGCCAUCGCCAAGAGGCUGGGCGGCUCCUUCUUCGGCGGGAAGAUGGUGGGCGCGCUCCUGAGGUCUCGUCCGGACGCGCGGCUAUGGCGUAGCGUCCAGAGCAGCAGCUUCAGCAUCGCCGACGUGUGGUGCCUCGGCAACGAAGGCUGCGUCGCCGCCGCGGCCGGCAGCCUCCUCCCGCGGCAUUUGACCGUGCGCUGCGUCACCGUCUCCGGCUUGCCGAUGAGAGGACUCGUCGGAAUCCAAGAAGCCUCUUUGGCUCUUCCUGCUCCUCCUUGUCCAGACGACGGCCCGGAGUUGCCUGUGCUGCUGUGCAAGUCUGUUCCCUGGCUACUGCGUGUACUACACUGCCCAUUGCACGAUCGACAGAGAGAUCAAUCAGUAAAACGUCCGUCGGACAGUUCCAACUGA